rnacentral:rRNA from 1 species
AGAUUGAACGCUGGCGGCAGGCCUAACACAUGCAAGUCGAGCGGUAGAGAGGUGCUUGCACCUCUUGAGAGCGGCGGACGGGUGAGUAAUGCCUAGGAAUCUGCCUAGUGGUGGGGGAUAACGUUCGGAAACGGACGCUAAUACCGCAUACGUCCUACGGGAGAAGGCGGGGGACCUUCGGGCCUCGCGCCAUUAGAUGAGCCUAGGUCGGAUUAGCUAGUUGGUGAGGUAAUGGCUCACCAAGGCGACGAUCCGUAACUGGUCUGAGAGGAUGAUCAGUCACACUGGAACUGAGACACGGUCCAGACUCCUACGGGAGCAGCAGUGGGGAAUAUU